rnacentral:rRNA from 1 species
AACGAACGCUGGCGGUAUGCUUAACACAUGCAAGUCGAACGAACAAAAUUGGGGCUUGCUCCAAUUUUAGUGAGUGGCAAACGGGUGAGUAACACGUGGGAAUCUACCUAUCAGUACGGAAUAACAUUUGGAAACAGAUGCUAAUACCGUAUAUUCUCCAAGGAGGAAAGAUUUAUCGCUGAUAGAUGAGCCCGCGCAAGAUUAGGUAGUUGGUAGGGUAAUGACCUACCAAGCCGACGAUCUUUAGCUGGUCUGAGAGGAUGAUCAGCCACACUGGGACUGAGACACGGCCCAGACUCCUACGGGAGGCAGCAGUGGGGAAUAUUGGACAAUGGGCGAAAGCCUGAUCCAGCAAUACCGCGUGAAUGAUGAAGGCCUUAGGGUUGUAAAGUUCUUUUAGUUGGAAAGAUAAUGGCGGUACCAACAGAAAAAGCCCCGGCUAACUCCGUGCCAGCCGCCGCCGUAA